rnacentral:rRNA from 1 species
CGUGAGCAACCUGCCCCUGGCUCUGGGACAACCACUGGAAACGGUGGCUAAUACCGGAUACGACCCGCACAGGCAUCUGUUGUGGGUGGAAAGUUUUUCGGCUGGGGAUGGGCUCGCGGCCUAUCAGCUUGUUGGUGGGGUGAUGGCCUACCAAGGCGACGACGGGUAGCCGGCCUGAGAGGGCGACCGGCCACACUGGGACUGAGACACGGCCCAGACUCCUACGGGAGGCAGCAGUGGGGAAUAUUGCACAAUGGGCGAAAGCCUGAUGCAGCGACGCCGCGUGAGGGAUGACGGCCUUCGGGUUGUAAACCUCUUUCAGCUCCGAAGAAGCGAAAGUGACGGUAGGAGCAGAAGAAGCACCGGCUAACUACGUGCCAGCAGCCGCGGUAAUACGUAGGGUGCAAGCGUUGUCCGGAAUUAUUGGGCGUAAAGAGCUCGUAGGCGGUGUGUCGCGUCUGCUGUGAAAACUCAGGGCUCAACU